rnacentral:misc_RNA from 1 species
CACCCCCUCCAGCUGCCUUUGUGUGGCUGCGGUGUUGGGGCUCGUCGCGAAGCGGCGGCCCUUAAAGACAGUGGCGGUCCCGGCGUGGGCUCUACGCGUAGUAACUUGCUUCUCGCGACAGAGUGACGACGGUGGCUUGCCAGAACAACCCUCAUCUGCUCCAGUCACAUGGAUCACA